rnacentral:rRNA from 1 species
AGAGUUUGAUCCUGGCUCAGGAUGAACGCUAGCGACAGGCCUAACACAUGCAAGUCGAGGGGCAACAUGGUAUCAGCUUGCUGAUACCGAUGGCGACCGGCGCACGGGUGAGUAACGCGUAUGUAAUCUACCUGUAACAGAGGGAUAACCCGGAGAAAUCCGGACUAAUACCUCAUAGCACAUAUUAUUCGCAUGAAUUUUAUGUUAAAGAGACUCGGUUACAGAUGAACAUGCGUUCCAUUAGCUAGUUGGCGGGGUUACGGCCCACCAAGGCAACGAUGGAUAGGGGUUCUGAGAGGAAGGUCCCCCACACUGGUACUGAGACACGGACCAGACUCCUACGGGAGGCAGCAGUGAGGAAUAUUGGUCAAUGGGCGAGAGCCUGAACCAGCCAAGUCGCGUGGAGGAAGACGGCCCUACGGGUUGUAAACUCCUUUUACCUGGGAAUAACGGGCGCUACGUGUAGCGCUGUGCAAGUACCGGGAGAAUAAGCAUCGGCUAAUUCCGUGCCAGCAGCCGCGGUAAUACGGAAGAUGCGAGCGUUAUCCGGAUUUAUUGGGUUUAAAGGGUGCGUAGGCGGAAGAAUAAGUCAGCGGUGAAAUGCUUCAGCUCAACUGGAGAAUUGCCGAUGAAACUGUUUUUCUAGAGUAUAAAAGAGGUAUGCGGAAUGCGUGGUGUAGCGGUGAAAUGCAUAGAUAUCACGCAGAACCCCGAUUGCGAAGGCAGCAUACUGGGCUAUAACUGACGCUGAAGCACGAAAGCGUGGGUAUCGAACAGGAUUAGAUACCCUGGUAGUCCACGCCGUAAACGAUGAAUACUAACUGUUUGCGAUAUAAUGUAAGCGGUACAGCGAAAGCGUUAAGUAUUCCACCUGGGGAGUACGCCGGCAACGGUGAAACU